rnacentral:sRNA from 1 species
UCAGAAUAGACAUAAAACUAACAGAACACUUAUUCGAAGGAGCAUUGUGUCUCUUUGAGUGAAGUUGAGCUUGCUGAAGA